rnacentral:rRNA from 1 species
UACGUAGGGUGCAAGCGUUAAUCGGAAUUACUGGGCGUAAAGCGUGCGCAGGCGGUGAUGUAAGACAGAUGUGAAAUCCCCGGGCUCAACCUGGAACUGCAUUUGUGACUGCAUCGCUGGAGUGCGGCAGAGGGGGAUGGAAUUCCGCGUGUAGCAGUGAAAUGCGUAGAUAUGCGGAGGAACACCGAUGGCGAAGGCAAUCCCCUGGGCCUGCACUGACGCUCAUGCACGAAAGCGUGGGGAGCAAACAGGGAUUAGAACCGUACC